CCCAAAAUGGGAUGCUUGCUUUGCUCACAUUGAUUGCGUCUCCCAGUGCCUCCCUGCGCCUCAUCUCUGUCGUCAUCCUUUUUCUACUGCAGGCUCAUCAGAGAACACAAGUAGCUCACAGCACCCUGGAGAGGGAAGGAGGUUUGUGCAGCUAAAAUAUCUGACUCCUAAAAUGGAGUUUCCUGAAAUUAUUCCUUACUCAUAGUGUAAUGAGGUGUACGUGUUGGAUCUAUUAUAACUUUCUUUCGCUCCAUCUCUCAGAAUAGAUGAUCAUCCUCAUCUUUGCAUCAUAUUCCAAUUAGAAAGGGAUGAUACAACAAGAAAGCUCUUGUAAGAUGUCAGCUGCUUGAUUUUGGACUUUGCAAACUCUAGAACUUUUCUCUUGCUCCUGCCAUGUAAGAAGUGCCUUUCACUUCCGGCCAUGAUUCUGAGGCCUCCCCAGCUGUGUGGAACUAAUAUGGCAGAUAUAACAGCACGUAAUUUCCAAGGCAAGGUCAUAAAAGACAUUGUAGCUUCUGCCUUGCCCCUUCCUCUUGGAUCUCUUGCUAUGGAGUAGCAGCCCCAUGAAGAGACCCGUGGUGGAAGAUCACUGAGGACUCCUGCCAACAGCCACUCAGUGACUGAGGCCUCUUGCAGAAAUCCAUAUGAGUGGGCCAGCUGACAAGAAAAUCUUCCAGCUCUAGUCAAGCCU
rnacentral:sRNA from 1 species